GACGAGGGAUGCAAGCGUUAUCCGGAUUCAUUGGGUUUAAAGGGAGCGUAGGUGGCCUUAUAAGUCAGUGGUGAAAUCUCUCAGCUUAACUGAGAAAUUGCCAUUGAUACUGUAGGGCUUGAGUACAGAUGCCGUUGGCGGAAUAUGACAUGUAGUGGUGAAAUACAUAGAGAUGUCAUAGAACACCGAUUGCGAAGGCAGCUGACGAAACUGUAACUGACACUGAGGCUCGAAAGUGCGGGGGAUCAAACAGG
rnacentral:rRNA from 1 species